UACAGAGGCCUCGAGCGUUAAUCGGAAUCACUGGGCUUAAAGCGUGCGUAGGCGGAGAUGUAGGCAUGUUGUGAAAUCCCUCGGCUCAACCGGGGAAUUGCUUCGUGAACCACAUCUCUUUGAGGCCGGUAAGGGCGGUCGGAACGAUAGGUGGAGCGGUGAAAUGCGUAGAUAUCUAUCGGAACGCCAAUGGUGAAGACAGGCCGCUGGGCCGGUUCUGACGCUGAUGCACGAAAGCGUGGGGAGCAAACGGG
rnacentral:rRNA from 1 species